UUGAUCGAGAUUACGUCUUUUCAAAUUUCGAGAAAACUGCUUUUGCCGUUGGGUUUCCAAACCUUAGAUUUUUUUUAUUCAUUUUUCAGUUUCUCUCUCCUCCUUUUCCCUUUCUUUUUCUUUUCUUUUUUCUUUCUUUUCUCUUUCUCUCUCUACCUCUUACAAACUCUUGGCCUUCUCUCUUCUCUCUCCCUGAAUCUCAAACUCUCCUCAUCUCUUAACUCUCUCAAGUCCUCAUCUCUCCCUUCGCCUAAUCUCUCACUCAACUCCGGCGAAGCACCAACCCAUCUCUCCCUUCAUCCCUCAACUCCGGUGAACACCAUGAACCCCAAGGUCGUCGCCGUCCUCUAUACAAAACGGCGAGAAGCUUUAGCCAUUCGGCUAAGCUCGUUUUUUUCUCUUCUCGCUCUAAUCCCUCUCAGAUUUCCUCUAUUUCUCUCUUCUCUAGCCGAUUCAGGCCAAGGAGGAUUUGAUUCAUCACCGGCGACGCUCUGAAAUUUUUGGCAAGUCUUCAGCGAGACUUCGGUCACCUCUUUCGACCAUGGUUAAGCCAGAAUUCGUGGAUUCUUCCCCAAUCUCUCUCUUUCUCCAUUUCCUUUUCCCAUUUUCGGGUCGGAUGUAGCGUAGGCAAAAGACUCUUGCCCGAAAGGGCGUAGCCAAAGCUACACAGCCUCCUCCAUCUCCAGCAAAGGAGUAAUCUUCAUCAUUUGAGGCUACUAUGAAAUGACUCGGUCAUUUUCUUCCUUUCUUUUUUCCUCAAAUUUUACGGAUAAAUUUUUUUCCAUUGUCUUUUCCUUUCGAUGUUUGGUUUCUCAUCACUUAAUGUCAUCUCGAGUGUUCGGAAAUGGUUUUUGAGACUCUUUCCAUUGGAUUGACAACUUCCUUUGAGAACCGAGUCAUUCCCACAUUUUUCGUUUUUUGACACUAUUCACUUUUCGUCUUUUUCCCUAUUUUGUCUUUUCCUAGUUUCCUUUUUCAUUGCAUAACCUCACUUUUUGUGUUCAGAUUUUAUUCCGACUUUGCAUUCAUCCAUGAUAUUUAUUUUCCAUGAUAUCUACAUUUUUACUUUUUGCGACUUGUUACUUUAUUCCAACUUUGCAUUCGUCUUAGGGACCUUUUUGCAAUUUAAUUUGGAAGAUAUUUUGAAAAAGGACAUUUUUGCAAUUUUUGAAAAAUGUAACAAGUGUCACAUUCUCAUGGUGCCACUUGUUGGCAUUGGGGUGGAAAAACUUGGAAGCAUAAUCUUGUAACACAUAGAAGGUAGAGAUUCGCCCACUUAUUGGCCUAGGAUUGGUGCAUUUGUUAGCUUAGAUGAUUGACAAUUGUAGGCUUAGGAUUAAGCCUAGGAAGGAGCCAUGGAUUAGUGACAAGUGUAGGCACCAAAAUGAGUCUUGCAUUAGUGUGUAUGAGAGGUAGUGUAAGAACACCUAGUGAGUGAACGAUUAUUAGAUCCUCCACUCACCAUUUUUUUCACUUUAUCUCUUUCAUUACACUUGUUCUUCAAAACCCUAACCUAGCCACAAUUGAAGAAAAGCUUGGUCAAGAGCUUGUUCCAUCAUUUUGGCCUCCUUCCACUCACCUUAGAUCUUAAACCUUAGGAGGUAAAAGUUUCCUCACUCUCCUCUACAAAACCCUUGAAGGAUUUAACAUAACUCAUAGUUUUGCUUUGGUAUCUAGAUAUUCAAUUCUCUAGUGAGGUAUUGAUCUAUGAUUUUGAAUUAUUUUUAUGUCACUAUUGAGUAUUUUCCAUGCAUAGAAGACAAGGAUUUAUAUUCCCCUUAAACUGUUUUAACUUGAACUUAAUCUUGCCAAAUUAAAUAUAGAAUAUGAAAGUAUAAUCAAUUAGCUUUCAUUUAGUUUUGGUUUCAUAUACUUUGAAUUUAAAAUGAAUUAGUUAUGAAUUUUUGAAGUUGCAAGCUAGUUGUUGGAAAUUGAAAUCUUUUCCUUAUCUAGUCCGGAAAUGAAUUUUUAUAUGGAACUGUGGUACUUCAAUUGCCUUGAAAUUUUUAAUGGAACUUCCCCCAUGGGUCUUACACUACUCAGAAUUUUUUCACGAUUUUAGAGCAUGUCUAAAUUUUAUUAAAAAUCCGAAACUAUCUGCUGUCCAUGUUUUUGUUGCAGUUGGAAAACAUAUUUUUAGAUAAUUUAUUUCACUAAUAUUUUGACAUUGGAUCAUGGCUUAAAUUUUCAGUUUUACACUCUCAUAUGUUUACUUCCAAAAUAAAUUAAGUUUACCCAAUUUGGAUGUCAAAUGAAUUUUUUCAUAAAUUUUCAAAGUUGGAAGCUACAGGCUGAAAAUGUGUUUUCUUGGUAGAAUUUAUUUCGAAAUUGUGGAUCAAAACUGUUUCAAUUGGGAAAAUAUUUUAUUAAACUAAAUUGAUAUUAUCAAAUUAUAGUGUUUAAACUUUCAUUGGGCUUUGGAUUCAUUCAAUUUGGAUUACAAUUGAGUUUUUUAUGAAUUUUCCAAGUUGAAGGUAACAAGCUGAAAAAUCUGUCUUGCAGAGCAAAAAUUUGGGGCGAUUUCAUUUCGGUGGUAAUUGGGAUUUUCAUUCCAAUUGAGAUAAGGGAUGUUUUAGGAUUUUGAAUGUGUUGUAUUGAGUGUUUUCCAUAAUUAUACAACUUGUUUGCAUGCCUUGUAUCAAAUCUAUAAAAUUAGUAAUAUUUAAUUCUUUGUAUAAGAUUAAAUUUACAAAGAUGUAUAUAGCUUAGAAUUGAAUUGUGGCAUGACGAUAAAUUAGGCCUUAAUAUAUUUGUUAACAUAUAUUAAAUUUGGGUCAUUUGAAUAAGAAUUGCAACUUUUAUUUAAUAUUUUUCUUUUAUGAAAGAUUAAUUCCCAUGGCCGUGCCUUGCAUGAUUAAUUUAUGAUAUGCUUUUAAAUUAAGUCUUGACAUACUCUUUAACAUACUUUAAUUUGAGAGCAUUUGGUUGAGUUUGAAAAUCUAGAGAUUUUAAUUAAAAGGAUUAAUUAAAAUCAAUUUAAGGGUUCCAUUGGCUUAAUCAAGUUUUUAAUUUGAUAAUUGUGAUGACUAGGACUUUUAUACUAGCGUAUGUUAAUUUAGGACCAUUUGAUGUCAUUUUAGAAAUUAGGGAUUUGAUUAUCAUGAUUUAAUUAAAUUCCAUUUUGUUGUUUCAAUGGCCUAAUUAAGUUUUUGAAUUGAUAUAUGUAAUGAUCAAGUUAUGUUGUAUGACAUGUGUUAAUUAGGGACCAUUUGGUUGAGAAUUGAAACUUAGAUAAAUUAAUUAAUAUACUUAAUUAAUUUCCGUUUCUAUCGCAUUAUUGAUUUAAUCAUGAGUUGACAUUGAUGGGAUGUUUAAAGCAUCAUUUCAGACUUGUGUUAGAUUCUUCAGUUUAUGCUUUCAAUAUUAAAUUAUAUUGUUAUAUCGUGUAACGAAUUGCACACUGAAGAUUCGAUAUGUGAUGUUAUUAUAGCGCGUAAUGAAUCGUGUUCUGAAGAUUCGACAUUUGUCAUCCUAUAGUAGUUGUGGAUUUAGAGCAUGAGCUAUGUGAUUACAACCUACUUAUGCAUAGAAUGUAGUUUCAUGCUUUAUAUAUAUUUCGUAUAUAAGUUGUUAACUUAUUUAUUUUGGAGUCACUUGAGACAUUGUUACAGAGGCAUGGCUAGAGUUUGGCUCUAGUGCGGGAGGUAUGAGUUCUCUCCAUUUAUAGUGCACACUUAGGGUGGUAUUCCCAGUGGGUUAAUGCCCGGAAUAACCGUUUAGGUCUUGCCUUUAUCCAAGAUUUGAUAUCCAAGUCUUCCACUACUUGAUUUCGCAUUCAAUUCCAAAUUGGCAACCAAUGUUUAAUUGUGACUUGUGGUUUUGGUUAUUGGCGAUUUAAUGUUAUUAAGUACAUUCAGGCAUUAUGAUUUCUAAUGAAUCAUUACAGGUUUUUGAUGUUGUUAAGUACAUUCAGGCAUUAUGAUUUCUAAUGAAUCAUUGUAAGUUUUUGAUAUUGUUAAGUACAUCUAUGUUAUAUUGUUCAAGUGCAACUUAGGAAUGAUCCUAUAGAUUCAUUUGGAACAUAGCCGUUAGGUGGCAUGACCCACUUUAGUUGUUUUCGUAUUUUAGAUUUUAAGUCAAUGGCUUUGAAGAUCUAUAUCUUGUUGUUUUGUAUAGCAUGCUUCUAUAUUAUUUGAAUUGCAUGAAUGAUGUGAUUUAUGCUAGAAAUAUUUUAAGGUAGCUUAGGAUGCUCCCUGAAUCUCACCUUUGACAUAGACGUUAGGCGGCAUGACCCUUUUGAAUUGUUUCAAGUUAAUAUAAUAACUUUGUAAAACGUUAGGUCAAUGCACGCUCAUUUCCUAUAAAUAGCUUUAUGUUACUCACCCACGUAGUGGGGAUAUUUUUCAGGUACAGGGACCUUGAUUCAGGAUGCACACUAAGCCAUGAAAGUUUCGUAAACUUGAAGUAUCAUUUUCAUGAAAUGUUGGCAUGAAAUCUUAUUUGUACCUUUGUAUGUCAAAACUUGUAUCUUUGAUUCCAUAUAUGUACACCUUUUACGAUGUAUUUGACUUGUGUGAGAUGAGGCCGGAGGCCAAUGACAUUUAUAUUGCAUCUUA